ensembl:lncRNA novel transcript, antisense to TMEM87B
GAGAAUAGUCAAGGGAGCACUGAGCAGGUCACCUAUCAUAGCCCAGGAGAGCAUGAAGAAUGGGUUCUGGGUAAGCUUGCUGGAGGAGGAGACCUGUAACUUGAAGGAAGAGCAGAAGUUAGCCUGGUGAAGAGAAGGGUGGACCAAACAUGUAAAUGCCCAGGGUGAGUGAAAGCACAGCAUGAGUAUGACCCCUGAAAAUAGUCUGCUAUGCUUAGAACACAGGCUGGGGAAAGGAGAAAGAGUUGAAGCUGGAGAAGAGUGCUGGGGAAAAUUCAUGAGGUCUUAGACCCUGCUGAGGAGUUUGGCCUUUCUUUUGAAUGAUCCAGGUAAGAGAGUGACACAAAUAGGCAGACUGAAAAGCAUUAAGUCUGGAGUUAAGGAGAGCUCUGUUGGGAACGUCCUCACGACAUGGCAGCUGGCUUACCCCAGAGUGAGUGAUUAGAGAGAGCAAAGAUGCAGCCACAGUAUCUUUUAUAACUUAGCCUCAGAAGGGAUGUGCCAUUAUUUCCACCAUGCUCUAUCAGUCACUCAGACCAACUCUGAUAAAAUGUGUUAGAGGACCACACAAGAUCAUGAAUAACAGGAAGCAAGGAUCACUGGGAGACAUCUCAAAGGCUGAUAAUGACAAAGAGCGAAACCAAACUGAGACCAGAGAUUCAAGUUCAACAAACUGAGGCUGGUAGAUUUUCUGGGGGACAGUACCCAAGAGAUGGAAGCUACAUAAAGAGAAAGAGAAAUCUGCAUAGUGAUCCCCUGGAGUUUCUGGCUGAAGGGCAGCCUGCCCAUGCAUAGGAACAAGCCCAACAAUUCUCAGAGCUCACACAGAGUUGGGAACUGUUUGAGUUUCCACUAGCCAGAGUGGAAAGGCCUCAGUAAAUAUACCAGGUAUUUGGAAGACAAGCAGAAAGACCACACCACAGAAGCACUGUUAAGUUUGCCCUAGACAAAAGGCUACUGCAGAACCAUCCUAAAAGAACUUAACAAGAAAACUGGAAAGCAUCAAACUGACCCACAAGGAACUUAAAUGUCUGCUAGAACAAAGUUGUUAAAGGACUACAACGUCCUCCAGCACUCAAAAAUGUGAAAUUCACAAUAUGCACCGACCAAACAAACAAAAAGCCUGCUUGGAUUUUGGCUGGGAUUAAACUGAACUUAUAGAUCAAUCUGGGAAGAACUGACAGUAUGAUGUUUGCUACAGAUUUUUCAUAGAUGCCUUUUAUCAGAGCUGCUUGAAACCACCUCUGCUUUCUAGCUGCUGGCUAGCCUGACUUCCCUCAGGAAAGACCCAUAAAAGGAAGAAUUGCCCCCAACAAAUGAGCAGAGCAUGAUCUGUUGUGUGAAAGGAAAGAGGCAUGACUUUGGAUCCUGUAGAAGCCAGUUUGCUCUACCCAGCAAAAAACUGCUCCUUAUCCUGAGACUUUAACUCUGGCAACCAAUUUUCCUAGUUAGGUUACUGGAAACAAUAAGAGGAAUUGGGCCACAAUGAAUACGAUCCAAUGAAAAUCCAGUGAAAUUCUUAAAAAACCUUGGUAGUUCUGGUAUCUCAGUAUUGACACAGAAAAGACAGGCCCUACCUAAUGAAUAUUUUAACUUUUAUCAACCUUAAAACUCUAAUUAAAAUGUUGUCCA